GUGCACCAGGCGCGAAACCUUCGCAGUGCGGGAAACCGCGACGAGGGGACUCCCAGUGCCUACGCUCAGCGUAGGCUGUUCCCGAGCCUAGAAAGCUCGGGGAGUAAGGGCUGGGUAAGACGGGUGCCAGCCGCCGCGGUAAUACCCGCAGCCCGAGUGGUGGCCACUAUUAUUGGGCCUAAAGCGUCCGUAGCCGGCCCGGUAAAUGCCUGGGUAAAUCGUGAGGCCUAACCUCACGAAUUCCGGGUAGACUGCCGGGCUAGGGACCGGAGGAGGGAGAGGGGUACUCCAGGGGUAGGGGUGGAAAUCCUGUAAUCCCUGGAGGACCACCGGUGGCGAAGGCGCUCUCCUAGGACGGGUCCGACGGUGAGGGACGAAAGCCAGGGGAGCGAACCGGAUUAGAUACCCGUGUAGU
rnacentral:rRNA from 1 species